rnacentral:rRNA from 1 species
AGCGAACGCUGGCGGCAGGCCUAACACAUGCAAGUCGAACGAACUCUUCGGAGUUAGUGGCGGACGGGUGAGUAACACGUGGGAACGUGCCUUUUGGUUCGGAAUAACUCAGGGAAACUUGUGCUAAUACCGAAUGUGCCCUUCGGGGGAAAGAUUUAUCGCCAUUAGAGCGGCCCGCGUCUGAUUAGCUAGUUGGUGAGGUAACGGCUCACCAAGGCGACGAUCAGUAGCUGGUCUGAGAGGAUGACCAGCCACACUGGGACUGAGACACGGCCCAGACUCCUACGGGAGGCAGCAGUGGGAAAUCUUGCGCAAUGGGCGAAAGCCUGACACAGCCAUGCCGCGUGAAUAAUGAAGGUCCUAGGAUUGUAAAAUUCUUUCGCCGGGGACGAUAAUGACGGUACCCGGAGAAGAAGCCCCGGCUAACUUCGUG